rnacentral:rRNA from 1 species
AUCGGGGCAGGGUGAGUCGACCCCUAAGGCGAGGCCGAAAGGCGUAGUCGAUGGGAAACAGGUUAAUAUUCCUGUACUUGGUGUUACUGCGAAGGGGGGACGGAGAAGGCUAUGUUAGCCGGGCGACGGUUGUCCCGGUUUAAGCAUGUAGGCUGGUUAUCCAGGCAAAUCCGGAUAAUCAAGGCUGAGGUGUGAUGACGAGGCACUACGGUGCUGAAGUAACAAAUGCCCUGCUUC